GGCUCAGGAUGAACGCUGGCGGCGUGCCUAAUACAUGCAUUUCGAACGAAUCUCUUUUAGAGAUGAGUGGCGAACGGGUGAGUAAUACAUAGGUAACCUGCCCCUGUGCGGGGGAUAACAGGAGGAAACUCCUGCUAAUACCGCAUAGCCAUGAGUACCGCAUGGAGCUCAUGCCAAAUAUCCUUUAUGGGAUAGCGCAGGGAUGGACCUAUGGCGCAUUAGCUGGUUGGCGGGGCAACGGCCCACCAAGGCAACGAUGCGUAGCCGGCCUGAGAGGGCGGACGGCCACAUUGGGACUGAGACACGGCCCAGACUCCUACGGGAGCCAGCAGUAGGGAAUUUUCGGCAAUGGGGGAAACCCUGACCGAGCAGCGCCGCGUGAGCGAAGAAGGCCUUCGGGUCGUAAAGCUCUGUUGUAAAGGAAGAACGGCGCAUACAGGAAAUGGUAUGCGAGUGACGGUACUUUACCAGAAAGCCACGGCUAACUACGUGCCAGCAGCCGCGGUAAUACGUAGGUGGCGAGCGUUAUCCGGAAUCAUUGGGCGUAAAGAGGGAGCAGGCGGCCGCAAGGGUCUGUGGUGAAAGACCGAAGCUAAACUUCGGUAAGCCAUGGAAACCGGGCGGCUAGAGUGCGGAAGAGGAUCGUGGAAUUCCAUGUGUAGCGGUGAAAUGCGUAGACAUAUGGAGGAACACCAGUGGCGAA
rnacentral:rRNA from 1 species